rnacentral:lncRNA from 1 species
AGCACAUUGAGUUUCCAGAGGAGGGGGUUACAAAAAAGAAUGAAGUGAAAUAUUGAACUCAGGAGGCAGAGAGUCACUGUGAGUCAGAGGAAAUCCGAAGUAACUCAUGUGAAUGAGUUCCUGAAUUCGUCUUUGAAAAGGUAAACUCCAUCCUCUCAUACUUAGGUUUGUCACCUUCUAAUAGCUGUCAACUCUCUACAUAAAGUGCUUGCAAAACA